rnacentral:rRNA from 1 species
AAUAUUCCACAAUGGGGGCAACCCUGAUGGAGCAACGCCGCGUGGAGGAUGAAGGCCCUCGGGUCGUAAACUUCUUUUCUGGGCGAAGAAUAUGACGGUAACAAAGGAAUAAGGAUCUGCUAACUACGUGCCAGCAGCCGCGGUCAUACGUAGGAUCCAAGCGUUAUUCGGAUUGACUGGGCGUAAAGAGUUGCGUAGGCGGUUUGUUAAGCGAAUAGUGAAAUCUUGUGGCUCAACCAUAAGGCUGUUAUUCGAACUGGCAAACUCGAGAAUGGAAGAGGUUACUGGAAUUUCUAGUGUAGGAGUGAAAUCCGUAGAUAUUAGAAGGAACACCAAUGGCGUAGGCAGGUAACUGGUCCAUUUCUGACGCUGAGGCACGAAAGCGUGGGGAGCGAAC